rnacentral:rRNA from 1 species
GACGAACGCUGGCGGCGUGCUUAACACAUGCAAGUCGAACGGAAAGGCCCUGCUUGCAGGGUACUCGAGUGGCGAACGGGUGAGUAACACGUGGGUGAUCUGCCCUGCACUUCGGGAUAAGCCUGGGAAACUGGGUCUAAUACCGGAUAGGAGCCAUUUUUAGUGUGAUGGUUGGAAAGUUUUUUCGGUGUAGGAUGAGCUCGCGGCCUAUCAGCUUGUUGGUGGGGUAAUGGCCUACCAAGGCGGCGACGGGUAGCCGGCCUGAGAGGGUGGACGGCCACAUUGGGACUGAGAGGCGGCCCAGCCUCCUACGGGGGGCAGCAGUGGGGAAUAUUGCACAAUGGGCGCAAGCCUGAUGCAGCGAGGCCGCGUGGGGGAUGACGGCCUUCGGGUUGUAAACUCCUUUCGCUAGGGACGAAGCUUUUUGUGACGGUACCUAGAUAAGAAGCACCGGCUAACUACGUG